UUGCGUGCUUCGAUUACUUAUCGUGUUAUAAAACUUGUUCAUAUUAGAUCAUCAACCAAAUCACAACUUGUCGAGGGACGCUCAGCGAAAACACCGGUUUAGAUUUCUCGUGAACCAGCAACAGCAAAACAAAAGGCACAUCAAGCCCCCAUGCAAGAUUAUCCAUAUGCUUUCUUGCUCUGUCCAACUGAGUAUGACUCUGACAGAGCUAGGUUGAAAGAAGAGGAGAGCAUGUUGAUUUGACGGCGUGGUGUGAAAGAGAUCGAAGGCAUCGUCGAUACUAAUAAAGAGAUGGUUAACAUCAAGGUCUGUUGAAAUACCAGGUCACAUAUUAACCCCGUUUUCACAGCUAAGCGGAAGAAGAAUCAGCUAAGAAAAGUGACGUCUGGAUUACCGCGUGUAUGUACAAGGGAUGUGAUUGUAUGUGUGCGACGCUAGUUUCCAAUGUUUACGAUCUGAAUGAUGCGAAACAACAAGAAGGAAAUUAAGUUAACAUUUUCCAUAAAUUUAAGAUAAAAUCAUUGUGCAGUGAUUUGUGAUCACAUAAAUUAUUCAUCGCGCAAUGUCUGUACUAUUACAAUCUAAUGUUCGUGGCUCAUUUCAUCAUCUGGAAAGUGGUGCCUCCUAGACUAGACCGUAUAUAUCAAACCCAAUUCGAUGAAAUUGAAUAAACGCGCCAACAGUGAGUUUGGUCACCCGUCCUAAUUAUAUGUAGUCAUUUGGUUGUGGUUUCCGUGUCGGAUGGUGGUAUAUGAUUCUCGUACACACGGCGGAAGCAAAAUCACUUGUUAUGAUUCUAUUAUUUGGCGCUUCCAGAUUCCAUCCAUCCAGAACCAGAAAAACAUUACGGAACCAACGUGAUUUAGUUUUUGAGCUAGCGUUAUAUAUAAUUCCGGGAGUGAUGUUUUCGACGUACGGGUCCGAACUACUCAAUCCUGAUAAAGGGCUGUAUAAGCGAAUUACACUACUCUUACAAGCUGAACCAAACAUAUUUUAUAAACAUUAUUCGUGCGACUUAAUGCAAAAAUAGAACAGCUACAGUUAGUGAGUGAAACGAUAUCACUAUCAACAGUUUAAUCAUCUCUUAAAACAUUUAAAAGGAAAUUUUA